rnacentral:rRNA from 1 species
UACGUAGGAGGCAAGCGUUAUCCGGAGUUACUGGGCGUAAAGAGUGCGUAGGCGGCGCAACAAGUCACUUGUGAAAUCUCCGGGCUUAACCCGGAGCGGUCAAGUGAUACUGUCGUGCUAGAGUGCGGAAGGGGCUACUGGAAUUCUCGGUGUAGCGGUGAAAUGCGUAGAUAUCGAGAGGAACACCUGCGGCGAAGGCGGGUAGCUGGGCCGACACUGACGCUGAUGCGCGAAAGCCAGGGGAGCGAACGGG